GUCCCUGUAGCGCAAUAGAUAGCGCGUUGGACUUCUACUCCAAAGGUCGUAGCUUUGAAUCCUACCUGAAAUG